rnacentral:lncRNA from 1 species
GCUUAUUCUUAUUCUUUCUUAGUUGAAGUUCCUAUAUUGGUUUUUUCUUUCUUUAAUGAAUGUUAUAACUCCUAAUUCUUUGGUAGCAGGCCUCUUUGAUAGUUCGACAAUUAUCCCUCGUCUAACUCAACUAUUCGACUACCUCUCCCACUCAUCAAGGCAGACAUCAGAAACGAAACUAUUGCCAAGGGAGACCGGAGUACGCUAUGCCCCAUCACCUACAAAAAGAUCAGUUACGGAAGUACUGCGCUUCUCAGGGCCCUCUGCGUCAGAGUGACCCCGCCGGGGCGAUCCAGUUACCCGGAGUUUUACGCUAUGCCUCGUCACCUACAAAAAGACAGUUACAGAAGUACUGCGCUUCUCAAGGCCCUUUGCGUCAGAGUUACCACGCUGGGGCGCUCCUGUUACCCGAAGUUUAAGUUCGAUCCAUUAGGUUCUUUUUUUUUCAGAAAAGAAACGAGAGACAAGAAAACAUAUUUGAUUACGAUUAAAAGGAACAAUCUCAAAUAGACCAAGAUCCAAUUUCGGGUCAUUUCUUGGUGAACAUGAUCUGCCAUAAUCUCUUCGAUCCCUUCAUUUAUGUGCCAGAAUAGAGAGAGAUUUGGUAGGAAAGUGGAAGAGACCUUUUUGUAUAUGAUAAUCAAAGGGAGUGGGAAAGAUGCAGUAAUUCUUUGGAAAAGCCCGGUUCUCUUUGUCUUCGAGCUUUCAUUCCUCAAUCCCCUGAUUCCUUCCUUCAUAUACCUCCCCACUAAUAGAUAGAGACAAAUAGGAAUAACCGAACCACGUCUACAAAAUGCCAGUACCAUGCAGCUGCUUCAAAGCCAACUUGAUGCUCCUUGGUCAGAUGACCGAGAUAUUGGCGAAUACCACAUAUGAUCGAGAAAAUAGUACCUAUAAUCACAUAAAAACCAUGAAAGCCAGUUGCUAAGAAAAAGGUAGAAUCAUAAAUACUAUCUGAAAUAUUGAAGGGUGCUUGAUAAUAUUCCAUUCCUUGAAAGCCUGUGAAUACUACAGCCAGUGAAACGGUAGUUACUAAAGCGUAAACUACUCAUUUUUCCUUCCCCGCGAGUAUAGCAUGAUGGCCCAAGUUACGGCAGCUCCGAAUGAAAUAGGAAUAAGGGUAUUAAGAAAAGGGAUUUCCCAAGGAUCUAAAACCGAAAUCCCCUUUGGAGGCCAAAUACCUCCGAUCUCUACCAUAGGUUCCAAAGAAGAAUGAGAAGAAGCCCGAAAAAUAGCAAAAAAGAACAUAACCUCCGAUACGAUAAAUAGAAUAAAACCAUAUCGAGGUCCUAAUUUUACGACUUUGGGAUGUUUUUCGAACGUGGAUUCACGUAGAACAUCGCGCCACCAUAUGAACAUGAUAUAUAGGAUAAAUAUGAGGCCCAAACUGCGAAGUGUUGCACCCCUUUGGAAUGAGUGCAUGUACAUCACACCUCCUACGGUUGUUGCCAAAGCUCCGAGUGAACCCGAAAUAGGCCAUGGACUUGGAUCUACCAAAUGAUAAGAAUGCCUCUGAGAUUCAAUCAUAAACCACUUUGCCUCGGUUCUAUGUAAACCCCCCUUCACCCCCACCCCCUAAAGUAGUAAAGUAAAGAAGGGCUCUUUGGGGUCUAAUUUGCUUUCUAUCUGACAGGACAAACAAAGAAAUAGGAAGGGAUGGUUCUUUCAUUCCAUUGAUAGAAGUCUAUUCGCGGAUUAGUUCGUUCUGCGCCGCCAGCGGCCUCAACCUAAAGGCGCAGGUUGAUCUCUCUAGUUGAGGCUGCAUUCAUUUAUUCAUAUUCAACUUGACACGUGGGAAGGGCUUACUCUACUAGUGGCUCGGCUUGGUCUCGCUCCCUUCCCGCACUAUUCCUCCCCACUAAAAAGAGCGAUUGAGAAUCUCGAGAACCUUUCCGAACGUCUGUCUUCGCGGGGCAAUUGGAAAUGAAAGGAGUAUUUAAUUCUUUUACUGCCUUCCAUUCCACUAUUCUGAUCGAAUUAAUUGCUCUUCCGAACGACCAAGUCAUAAUGA